rnacentral:rRNA from 1 species
UACAGAGGUCCCGAGCGUUGUUCGGAUUCAUUGGGCGUAAAGGGUGCGUAGGCGGUCUUCUAAGUUUGAUGUGAAAUCCCGGGGCUCAACCCUGGAAUUGCAUUGAAUACUGGAGGACUAGAGUACCGGAGAGGAAACUGGAAUUUACGGUGUGGCAGUGAAAUGCGUAGAGAUCGUAAGGAAGACCAGUGGCGAAGGCGAGUUUCUGGACGGUAACUGACGCUGAGGCACGAAGGCCAGGGGAGCAAACGGGG